rnacentral:lncRNA from 1 species
CCAGGCAUCCGGUUACACUAAACGUGACCAUACAAGUCUCCCUCAAACAGCGAACGUGAGGUUCAAUACUCCAUUUCGCAGAGGAGAAAACUGAGGCUUAAAACAGCCAGGUGUUGGAAACACAGCAAUGAACAGACAAAAAUCUCUGUCAUAGAAUUUACAUUUUAAUGGGCAAGAACAAAGGAUAAAGGGAAAUAUAAGGUGUACUAAAUGAUGUGUGUUAGUCAUGUGACACCAACUGACAGAUUCAGACUAUGCAGGUCUGUGGGGCAUUAUAUUGUGAUUCUUGUUUGAAGGCAGAAAAAAUGAAGAGGGCACAGAUCAACCUUUUAUAAUGAAUAUUACGUUCUGAAGUUCUCCAUCUGCU